rnacentral:lncRNA from 1 species
AUGCCAGUGAUACAACUUCAACCCAUGAGAGGACUCCACAGGUUGAAGAUUGCACCAUGUGCUGGAAACUGCUGUUUGUCCUGUGUCCAACUUUUGCUGUUCUCCCCUCUCUUCUUGUCUCGCUUCUUGUCCAUCACUACUGCCAGAAAACAGUUGAUCACCAAAGACCUGAAACCAGCGAGCAAACAAGAAGAAAUCAGGAUGAAGAUGUCUUUUAUGCUACAGUGGAAACCAGUCAAGCAACACAGAAAUCAAAGAAGAAGAUAAUGCAUAGUUCUGAUUUCUGUACCUAUUCUGCUAUCAACACCUCUGGGGUCUAGAUUUAACAUUGUUUCAUUCAAUUAUGCAUAAUGAAUUAUGUUGGUUAAACCAACUUUAAUAAUCCGCAAGGAUUGACAGUAGGUCCUUUGCUUUUCCCCUCAUCUAUAAAUAAUAUUGAAAACUGUAGUGACCUGAUUGUGUGCACAUAGCUUAAACCACAAUCUCCUCGCUGUCCUGUUUAGGCAUCAUAUCAGAAUCUCUAGGUGCCAGUACUAGAUGUUGAUGCCAGUAAAUUAAAGUUAUGCAUCUUAUCUGUGAAUGUUCAUGCUUUGGAUGAUUGGUAUAUACAUACAAAACAAUUUGUAUCAUUUGUCUCAUUUUUUGUUGUUGUUCAUUUAUAUAUUUUUAAGCAAUUAUAAUAGCAAAAUCUAAA